CCUACGGUGAGCAGCAGUGAGGAAUAUUGGUCAAUGGGCUGAAGCCUGAACCAGCCAAGUAGCGUGCAGGAUGAAGGCCCUACGGGUCGUAAACCGCUUUUUCACGGGGAUAACACCCUCCACUUUUGGCAGUCUUCCGGUACCGUGCGAAUAAGGGCCGACUAAUUCCGUGCCAGCAGCCGCGGUAAUACGGAAUGCCCGAGCGUUAUCCGGAUUCAUUGGGCUAAAAGGGAGCGUAGGCGGGCGUUCAAGGCAGCUGUAAAAUCGCGCGGCUCAACCGCGCCCCGCAGUUGAACCUGGACUCCUUGAGUGCACAAUAGGCAGGCGGAAUUCGUGGUGUAGCGGUGAAAUGCAUAGAGAUCACGAGGAACCCCGAUUGCGAAGGCAGCCUGCCGGGGUGCGACUGACGCUGAGGCUCGAAGGUGCGGGUAUCAAACAGGAUUAGAUACCCUUGUAGUC
rnacentral:rRNA from 1 species